ACUAUUCCAGGGGUCUCUUUCAGUUAUAAGUAGUAGUGCCGCAGGUAACCGCCAGUCUAAAAGGCUUACCUACUGCCUUCUGCUUAAAAUUGAAAUAUUGAUGACCAUUGA
rnacentral:pre_miRNA from 15 species